CCUACGGGAGGCAGCAGUGAGGAAUAUUGGUCAAUGGACGCAAGUCUGAACCAGCCAUGCCGCGUGCAGGAGGACGGCUCUAUGAGUUGUAAACUGCUUUUGUCCGAGGGUAAAUACCGGGACGUGUCUCGGGAUGAGAGUAUCGGACGAAUAAGCAUCGGCUAACUCCGUGCCAGCAGCCGCGGUAAUACGGAGGAUUCAAGCGUUAUCCGGAUUUAUUGGGUUUAAAGGGUGCGUAGGCGGUUCGAUAAGUUAGAGGUGAAAUCCCGGGGCUCAACUCCGGCACUGCCUCUGAUACUGUCGGGCUAGAGUUUAGUUGCGGUAGGCGGAAUGUAUGGUGUAGCGGUGAAAUGCAUAGAGAUCGUACAGAACACCGAUUGCGAAGGCAGCUUACCAAACUACGACUGACGUUGAGGCACGAAAGCGUGGGGAGCGAACAGGAUUAGAUACCCCGGUAGUC
rnacentral:rRNA from 1 species